GAAGGUAUAGCUCAGUGGUAGAGCGCAUGCUUGACACACAAGGUCUUGGGUUCAAUCCCCACUACCUCCU
rnacentral:tRNA from 1 species